UUGUACAGAUUCGAUCGGGAUAGUCAUCACAUUAAAACAAAACCGAGAACGUUCCUCUUGCUAAUGGCGGGCCAUAUAAACUCCCUUCGGGGAACUAAGUCGAAAGACCGGUGGAUUACAAAGGCGGAGGGCACUCAAAACUUAUAGACUCGGACUUAUCAUCACAUCAUCGU
rnacentral:sRNA from 1 species